CUGAUGCUUGAGGUCAUCCGGGCCUCGGCUCAGGAAGGUCACCCGUGGGACCUGACCCCGGAGCCUCCGGUCUGUGUCCCCAUCUAAGAUGUAAUCCAGGGCUGUGGCAUGGAGGGAGAAGAGCGAAGUCGGGCAAAUGGAGGCUCUUGAGCAAGCAAGACCCCAAACCCCCUUCUGCCACAGCCCAGACCCACACUAAGGAAGAGAGGCAGAGGAAGCAAGUGCGGCGUCCUCCCCCGCUCCCCCUUCUCGUCUCUCCUCACCAGACCAAGCGUCCAUCAGCGCAGUUGGGCUGCUCCAGGUCGAUGGCUCUCGGGGCAAUGAAGAUCUCUUGGGAGACGUGAAGAACAGGUCUGGCCCUGGGCACGGAGAGUUCAUUGGGUAGGGAAGGAGAGGCUGUGAGGUUAGGCGCCCUCCGCAGGUUCCUAGUGAGACGGGAAUGAAGUCGGAGCUACAGGAGGGUCGGACAGCCCGGCGGCCUACCUAAAGAGCGCAGCAGUAUCAGCCAGGGAGCCCACGAGCAGGUCGGGGUAGUCGUUUCCGUCCACAUCCAGGCCACCGGACAGGGAGUAACCAAAGCUCUUGAUGCUCACAGCCUCACCCUCCAGCACCUGGAGACCAAAGAGUCAGCCUCCUCGAACCCCAGUUUUCCCAAGCCCCCCUCCCCUGCCCCCAGCAGCCCUUACUCCCCCCAGGAUCAUCCCCUCACAUCCACGACUCCCCUCACCUGUGAAGGUUUGACAACCACCCCCAGGCUGCUUCCGUGGUAGAUAAAGACUUUCCCAUCUCCAUCAAAGGGCGCUCCCACGGCAAUAUCUGGGGGGCAUGAGAAGAAGCAUCAUGGGGCUGUGGAGGAGGAUGGACAAGGGCCAUACCCAGUUUCCCUCGUCCAAGUCCUGCAGGAUACGUUUCCAGUUGCAUUGAGGAACUGCACACAUCAUUUUUCAAUCCUCGUGGCCGCUCCCUCCAGAUAUCACUAGCUCAGCUUGGCUGAGUCAUAGUGGAAAUCCACUCCACCCCUCCCCGCACUGAGCUUUCCCAAUCCCAGUCACACCUGGGAAGCCAUCUUGGUUGAGGUCCCCUAAGACAGCCAAGCUGAUUCCAAACAUGGAGUCGGGGGAGCCACAGAUCCGGAGAGGAGGGACAUCUGCCCAGUGGCCACCCUGGUUCAUGUACACAUACACAGCACCUCCCAGCUCUUCUUGGCGCUCAAAGAAGUAAGGGGCACCCACAAUCAGGUCUGGCCAGCUGUGGAAGAGAGAGACAGUAUGGGGCCCUCUAGACCAAGGGAGUCGGGACGAAGUGCAGAAGCCACUCCUGGACCCAGGGGCACACCCCUCUCGUUUCCUCUCACCCGUCAUUGUUGAGAUCAGCCACAGCCAGCGAGUAGCCAAAGCCGGAGGUCAAGCGCUCCCCAGACAAGACAACCUCGGGUAUCAGGCGGCUGGCGCUAUCCUUGCGCAGAAUGACCACGGCCCCCUUGUGGUUGGCACGGGGAGCCCCAGCCACAAAACUCAGCUCUUCUGCACGCAAGAGACCCUUCCCAGAGUCGAUGGAGAAACCUGGGUGAGGAGAUCGGUUACUAUGAGUGAUUUCCCAAGAGCCGGAAGCCAGGGCCUAGAAAUCCUGACAGCCCUCCUGGUCGGACACACGGGAUGUGACAUAGACUGGGUGGCUUGGUAAGAGGGCCUGGGCCGCAGCAACGGGAGCUGGGCCAGGGCUACCACCAUUCAUGCCCAGCCUGGGGAACUGGAGAGUGAGGGACGUCCUUUCACACCCCGGAGGCCCCUUGACAUCCAAUGCACCUUCUUUACCCCCAUCAUCCCUACCCUGCCAGGGAGAAAGUCUUUACAUAUAUGGGAAGAAGACAUGGCCACAAGGAAGAGCUUGCCUCACCCACAUGUUUCCUGGACCACAUUUCAUCCUUGUUCGUAUGCAGAAGAGGAGAUGAACAGCUACGAGGGGACUCACCCACAAGGCUAGAGCUCCCUCCAACAUCAGCCCAUCACCCACCCCCAGAGGAAGUUCCCUAGAGGUCAAGACUGUCCUUCCAAGCAGGGUUAACCCUGGGCCCCUCACACCAUCUGGGUAUUCCUCCAUGAAGGCCCGUGGCUCGCCGCCCUCAGGCCUGUCAAUUGUACCUAAUCCUCCCCUGCAGUUUGGGCCCAGCAUGUAUUUCCCUGGGCAUAUAUAUUGGGGGAGAGCCGGGAAGGAAAGGACACUCCCUGGGAGAGAAGCGGGAAGGCCAGGGCCACACCCCAGGGCCCAGGACGCAGGAGCUUACAAACCUA